CUGAUCCAGGAUGAUACACAGACGGGCGGAAAGAUAGACCCACUACACAUAGAACACAAAAUAGACACAGUCAGACAUAUAGGACUUAUCUUUCCAGGGUGAGACACAGAAAGACAGACAGAGAUAAGGAGAGACAGAAACACUUCGAAUUCGUAGAGAGACAAAAUGGAGACACAGACAGAGGGGACUUAACUUAUCUAGGAUGACACACAAACAGACAGAGAUAAGGAGAGACAGAGACACUUCCGAUUCGUAGAGAGACGAAAUUGAGACACAGACAGGACUUAACUGAUCCAGGGUGAGACACAGAAAGACAGACAGAGAUGAGGAGAGACAGAAACACUUCGGAUUCGUAGAGUGACAAAAUGGAGAAACAGACAGAGGGGACUUAACUUAUCUAGGAUGAGACUGUCCUGUACCGGAUGCUCCAUCCCCGAGUUAUAAAUAUUACAUACACAUCUAUUUAUAUACACUGUAGACCAGUCAACAUGGCUGUUGGGACGUACCUUCUUACCGCUGUAUUCUUCUCUUAUUUCAUCGCUAUUUCCUACACUCAGCCAGUAGAUUCAAGCAAGGCGUGUAAACCAGGAAUGGUGCUCUGCGCAAAUACCACGAAGUGUAUCCCCCGGAAGUGGGUGUGUGAUGGUGAUGCAGACUGCCCCAACAAGACAGACGAAGUUAACUGUGAACCAACCACCUGCGGUCCGGGCUUGACCCUGUGUGCCAAUUCGUCCCAAUGUAUUUCGUCGGUAUGGGUCUGUGACGGUGAUAGAGACUGCAUAUCUGGAUCGGACGAGGCCAAUUGUGAUCAUCAUAAUAAAACAUGUUCCCCCAAAGAGUUCUUGUGUAAAUCCUCUCAAAAGUGCAUUCCAAGUAAAUGGCAAUGCGACGGAGGAAUGGAUUGUUCAGAUAACUCUGACGAAAUCAACUGUUCAAGUAUAACCUGCUCACCAACACAGUUCAUGUGUAAAACCAGUCAAAAGUGCAUCAACAUGAGGUGGAGAUGUGACGGAGACGACGAUUGUGGAGAUAAUUCUGACGAAGAGAACUGUACAAACAAAACCUGCUCAGACCAAGAGUUUAUGUGUAAAUCAAACAGCAUGUGUAUCCACAAAACUUGGCGAUGUGAUGGGGCUAUGGACUGCGUAGAUCACUCAGACGAGCAAAACUGUACAACGAAGGCAACAUGUUCUGCCGAUCAGUUUGAAUGUGACAAAAAAACCUGCAUUGAUGGUGCGAAGGAAUGUGACGGCAUCAAAGAUUGCUUCAACGGAAGAGAUGAAGCAGAGUGUUUACCUGGAGAUGUACGAGUUCUCCUGGCAGACAGACACAGCCUCAAGUUGGUUACUCUAUCCAGUGAUACUCGUAAAGCAUUGUCCCAUCGGAUGUCUCCUUCCCGAACCACAUACAAUAUGGUUGGCGUUGACUACGACUAUGGAGAGGGAUAUGUGUUCUGGACGGAUGUUGGUCAAAUUGGCAUUUACAGUGCAAGAUUUCUGAAUUCCUCGUCUACCAUUACGGACGAACGGACCGUCGUGUCCCGUAACAUAAGGACAGCGGACGGCCUCGCUGUUGACUGGAUAAACAAUCUGAUAUACUGGACAGACACAGGCCGGAAUGAGAUAUCGGUCACCGACUACAACGGAACUCUGAGGAAAACCCUGUUUCAAUUCAACCUAGAUGAACCAAGAGCUAUAGUAGUGGAUCCACUGACAGGGUGGAUGUAUUGGACAGAUUGGGGCACCCCAGCUAAGAUAGAAAGGGCCGGAAUGAACGGACAGCAAAGGGAGACAAUCGUAUCAGCCAACUUGACAUGGCCAAAUGGCCUUACGUUAGAUAAGAAAGACGGGCGACUGUACUGGAUUGAUUCCAAAUUCAAAAUGGUGGAGUCUUCUCAAACUGAUGGAACUGACAGAAAGGUUGUCAGCAAAGGAAAAGUUAACCAUGGUUUCGGUAUAACGACGUCGGAGUUCGCCAUUUACAUUACGUCCUGGGUAGACAAAGGCAUCACCGGAUUAACUAAAUCAGACGGUCGAGUGACACGCUUCACAAACGAGGUGACGGAUUCUAUUACGCAACCAAUGGGAUUAAAACUAUACAGCAAUACAUUGCAAAAGCAAAAGGCAAGUGUAUGCUACACUAACGAGUUUGAAUGCAAGUACCUUUGUCUACCUGGCCCCGCGAAGCCACCAUCAACUGAGGUUCGGUACAUUUGCGCAUGCCCAGACGGGAGCACGUGUGACAUAGGCUCGACAAAAAGCGGACCCGGAAGUAGUACAACCACGCCAAUGACAACAACUGCAGCUACAACAACAACAGCAACAGCAGCAACAACAGCAGCGACAAGCGAUCCAAAGACUACAGAUGUCACAAAUCUCUCCACUUCCGGUACUACUACUACGCAGAAAGCGGUGACGUCAACAAUAAUUCCAACCACAUCCCAAGCUCCAGGAAAUAAAAUUUGGUGGUGGAAAUGGCAUGUGGAACGGGGUGCAGGUCUGAUCAGGUGCCAUGCGACGACAGUUCGUCCACGUGUAUACCACUUACGUGGAAAUGCGAUGGUAAACAGGACUGCCUGGACGGGUCAGACGAAAAGACUUGUCCAACAAGCGGCGCAUGCCCAGCGGGGUAUUUCGAGUGUAGUAACGGAUUUUGUAUCCCGGAUAAGUGGAUGUGUGAUGGCGAGAUUGACUGCUGGAACGAGUCGGACGAAGUCGGCUGUUCUGCCCGGUGCCAGAAAGGUCAGUCUUAUUGCCGAACCCAAGACAAGUGUAUAGCUCAGACCUGGGUGUGUGACGGCGACUACGACUGUUUGGGCGGCACAGACGAAUACAACUGCAAGACUUCAACAUCAGCGGCACAGGACUGGAACACCAAUCCUCUUUAUGAUGGACUUUUAUUUAAUU
rnacentral:misc_RNA from 1 species